CGCGUAGGCGGCUAUUUAAGUCGGAUGUGAAAGCCCCGGGCUCAACCUGGGAACUGCAUCCGAUACUGGGUAGCUAGAAUGCAGUAGAGGGAGGUGGAAUUUCCGGUGUAGCGGUGAAAUGCGUAGAGAUCGGAAGGAACACCAGUGGCGAAGGCGGCCUCCUGGACUGACAUUGACGCUGAGGUGCGAAAGCGUGGGGAUCAAACA
rnacentral:rRNA from 1 species